AUUGUGAGAGCUAUCGCCGAGUACAAGCAUUCUUGUUGGUUUGAAAAGUUGACUGAGGAGAAGAGAAACGUGUAUGUAGAGGUUAUUAGAGGUGGUAGAAGAGUCAGGGCUUCUAUCUAUGAUAUUGUUGUCGGCGAUGUUAUACCCCUCAAGAAUGGUUUUCAGGUAAGC